UACAGAGGGGGCAAGCGUUGUUCGGAAUUACUGGGCGUAAAGGGCGCGUAGGCGGCCUUCUAAGUCGAACGUGAAAUCCCCGGGCUCAACCCGGGAACUGCGUCCGAUACUGGAAGGCUUGAAUCCGGGAGAGGGAUGCGGAAUUCCAGGUGUAGCGGUGAAAUGCGUAGAUAUCUGGAGGAACACCGGUGGCGAAGGCGGGUCUCUGGGCCGAUAUUGACGCUGAGGAGCGAAAGCGUGGGGAGCGAACAGG
rnacentral:rRNA from 1 species